rnacentral:rRNA from 1 species
GCCAGAGAGGUGCCACUGGCGUGGGUAAGUGGUAGGGGGGGGGGUGUGGCCGGACUUACUGGGUGUAAAGAGCUCGUAGGUGGGUUGGCGCGGUGUUCGGGAAAUCUCACGGCUUAGCGGUGGUCGGGCGUGCGAUACGGGCAGACUGGAGUACGGCAGGGGAGACUGGAAUUCCUGGUGGAGCGGUGGAAUGCGCAGAUAUCAGGAGGAACACCGGUGGCGAAGGCGGGUCUCUGGGCAGUAACUGACGCUGAGGAGCGAAAGCGUGGGGAGCGAACAGGAUUAGAUACCCCGGUAGUC